rnacentral:rRNA from 1 species
GAAUUUUUGGCAAUGGGGGCAACCCUGACCAAGCAACGCCGCGUGGGUGAUGAAGUAUCUCGGUACGUAAAACCCUUUCGACGGGGAAGAAACCGCAAGGUUGACGGUACCCGUAGAAGAAGCCCCGGCUAACUCCGUGCCAGCAGCCGCGGUAAUACGGGGGGGGCAAGCGUUGUUCGGAAUUACUGGGCGUAAAGGGCGCGUAGGCGGUUUGCUAAGUUGGAUGUGAAAACUCUGGGCUUAACCCAGAGCCUGCAUUCAAAACUGACAGGCUAGAGUUCUGGAGGGGAUAGCGGAAUUCCUGGUGUAGCGGUGAAAUGCGUAGAUAUCAGGAGGAGCACCGGUGGCGAAGGCGGCUAUCUGGACAGAAACUGACGCUGAGGCGCGAAAGCUAGGGGAGCAAACAGG